CGACUUCCGGUCGUGCCCCUACCCUCGCAGAGUGACCAUGCAGUUUUGCUGAGGCGCUAUUUUAAGUGAGGACAGUUGUCUACAUCGUAACAAUGAACGCAGCUCCUCUGCCAAAAAAGAAGGCGUCAUUGGGUUGACGUUUCCUGAUAUCACAGAAGAUGACUUGAAAGAAAUGAACAUAAAAUUAGGGCCCAGAAAGCAUAUUAUGCAAAUUGUGAAUAGAAUAAGGUGCCCAUCAGUUCAAGCGGUUGCUUC